CGAACGGGUGAGUAACGCGUGAGGAACCUGCCUCAAAGAGGGGGACAACAGUUGGAAACGGCUGCUAAUACCGCAUAAGCCCACGGUGCCGCAUGGCACAGAGGGAAAAGGAGCAAUCCGCUUUGAGAUGGCCUCGCGUCCGAUUAGCUAGUUGGUGAGGUAACGGCCCACCAAGGCGACGAUCGGUAGCCGGACUGAGAGGUUGAACGGCCACAUUGGGACUGAGACACGGCCCAG
rnacentral:rRNA from 1 species